ACAAGCUUCGUAUAGUUAGUAUAGUUAAUUGCAGAUUAGUGGGAAAAAUUUUUGAUUUUAGUUUGUU
rnacentral:tRNA from 1 species